rnacentral:rRNA from 1 species
UACGUAGGGGGCAAGCGUUGUCCGGAUUUAUUGGGCGUAAAGCGCUCGCAGGUGGUUCCGUGCGUCGUGCGUGAAAGACCCCGGCUCAACUGGGGGAGGUCGUGCGAUACGGCGGGACUGGAGGCCAGUAGGGGGAUGCGGAAUUCCGGGUGUAGUGGUGGAAUGCGUAGAGAUCCGGAGGAACACCAGCGGCGAAGGCGGCAUCCUGGACUGGUCCUGACACUCAGGAGCGAAAGCGUGGGGAGCGAUC